rnacentral:lncRNA from 1 species
AGCUGGACUAUAAAAAACCUAAUAUGAUGCUGUCUGUUUUUUAGAAGAAAUUACUGCUACUCUAAAUCUGUUAUGGGUCAUAUGGACUUUCCACCAAGACUAUUUGCUAGAGGAAAUUCUUUGCAUGUCAGCUGCAUGAUGUUGCAUACAGAAUCUCAUCUCAAAAGGCAAAGGAAGAACAAUAGCAGAUGGGCCGAGCCUUAUCCACUGUCAUCCUUUCACAUUGCAGUGCUGGAUACUGAAACAUCUUUGCAUAAUUACAGUUUUAACCCCCCCCCCCCAAAAAACAAACUGAAACUAACAGAUUGCACACAAUCUGAUUAGGAGUGAUGCUUUUCUUUUCUUUUAUCUUUUCAAGGGGCAGAGCUAGCUUGAAUUUCAUUGGAGGAUUUUUAAAUCUCUAUUUCUAUUGUUCUGUUUUCUACUCCCUCUGCCCUUUCUUGAUUCUUCCACUCUUGAAUUUAAUCCCAACCCUUUCCAUAAUUACCUUUACCUGAUGCAGGCUGCUCUGACCCACAUUAAUCUUUUCUUUUUCCUUUUGCCUCUUAUUAGAUCUUCUUUUUGUCCUGCUCCAUUUCAGGUUGAUGGGAGCUAUUUCGUGCUCAGUAGGGCUGUGCAAAAUGGCACUGUUCCAUUUCGACUUCAGUUUCGAGGUUUGGACAGAACAACGUUUUGUUUCAAAUUUCAUUUCAAGUUGAAACAACUGUUCAGUUUUGCUUCAUCAAAACAGUGAGGCUGUUUUGAUAUUUUGUGCAACCAUCAUGCUGGGGAAACAAAUCCAGCCCAGCUGGGCUGACUUCCCAUCCCCAGUCCGAUCACAGGGCUGGGGAGGGGAACUGAGUGAUCGGACUCAGUUCCUUUCCCCAGCCCAAACUUGCAGCACUUGGGAGGGGAACUGAGCCCAGGCUGGGGAUCUUUCCCUGCACUGUGAUUAGCUUCCCACAGCCCGGCGGCGGGAGACCAGGGUUGUGAUCCCAGCUGCUGCUGGGAGUACAGCCCUGGUUCUCCCUCAACUUCCACCUCCUCGCUGCUGGCUGCUCCAAAACUCAAAACUUUUUGAAACUUUCGAAAUGUUUCGACUAGCUUUGUUUUGUUUCGAGGCUGUUUUGAAGCCCUUUGUUUCUAUUCAGUUUCACUGUUUUGAGUUCAAAAUGCAUUGAAACAGUGUCGAAUCCAAACAGCCAGCAAGAUUUUGCACAGCCUUAGUGCUCAGCACUUUUUGAAGAUUGGGCUGCUUACCCAGAUAUCAUAGUGUGUAUAAUGGAGGCUAAUUUCAAGUAGCAAAUUCUAAGUAUUUUAACCUAAAAUCUUGCAGAAAAUUGUG